rnacentral:lncRNA from 13 species
AGGGAGAGGAAGGUGGGAAAGAAGAGGGGGAAGAGUGCUGAGAAAGUUGAUUUAGCAAAACAGAUUUUUGUCUCCACCUAGAAGGACCAGUUGUGCCCAGAGAGCCUUCUCCAACCCGUGUAACGAUGGGGUGAAAGGAGAUUUCACAAGAGCGGCUCAGGAACCUCUUGAGAAGGAGGCGCUGAGAGUGAGUCCAAGGGCUGUCUGUCCUGUGCAAUUUUCAGGCUCCAUAGGAAAAAAUUCUUGGCAGAAUCCGAAGGGAAGGAGGCAGGACUGAGAAACUUUGAGAGUCAAGAGGGAAAGGGAGAGGUCCAUGGUUCGAGGACAGCAGCGCUGAGAACAGAAAGAUGCUUCAUUGCAGUAAUCCCCAGGCUGGUUCCUUUUGACAAGAGUUUUCGGCCGAGGUUGUGGCAGAGAAGUAAAGGGAGAAUCUGGGCAAACAUCGCCAUCUGUCAUGCCGGCUGCCAGUGCCCCAGCUCUUCUGGAGCAGCGCGGCUUCUGUGCGUCACGGUCCCACCGUCUGGGACAGGACCCUGGAUGCAGCCAGUAGCCGCGAGGGAGUGUCCAGAUGCCUGUGUCAGGCAGAGGACUGCUCAGUGGCCUCUGACCCAGCGAAUGUUUCGUGAACUUUACUCUUGGUCUCGCUCCUAAGUUAACACUGGAGAUGAUGGAUUGCUAUACUGCACUGAUGACCCAGAGGGGUUGAGCCGCAAGAGCCACACACCCAUCCUCCACCCCAGGUCACUGUGCUCCCCCUCGCUGCCUCCCACAGAUGAGUUCACCCAUCCGGUUGUGAGAGACACUCCCCACGUUUCUUCAGGGAGUCUCAGCUGGCUCCUCCUUGUUCAAUAAAGGUGAAGCCUGUGGGUUUUCUCUGUGUGUG